rnacentral:lncRNA from 1 species
GUUAUUUGCAAUGGUAACUUCUUAGUAAACCCUAGAAUAGUUUAUGUGGUUAAAAACCUUUUCAAUUGAAAAAUUAUGUUAUCCCAUCGAUUGUUUAAAGGAUUCCAUGUGGUACAGUUCUUUGAAUAUAUGGGAAGCAAAUGAAGCCAAAAAAGAAAAUUUGGCAGGCAAAAAUUGAAGUGCUUGCAUUGGCUCUAGAUCUAGCUAUCUGAACAUUAAUGAUCUCAUUGGAGAGAUGUCUAUAUUAAGAUUCAAAAGCUUUCUGGGUUCCCAAGGGGCAAACUCAUUGAAUACUGUGAUGCACCAUGAAACUAAACAAUUUUUCUUAUUGCAAAAUAACCAAGAAAUCAGAAACUCAUUACGUGUGCAUAACAAAGGACACAUUAAGAGGAUAGUCUUAUGGGUAACCUUGCUUAGCAAUAGUUCAUUGGAAUUGUCAUUGCAGGGAGGCCCAGAACAACACUGCUUUGUACUUAGAUGUUGUUUUAUUGAAAGAUCUAAAAGUAUGCCAUAACUCAUUCAGACUCACAACAUCUAUAUUAGCAACGUUAUCUGCAUCUGUCUGCAGAUGUACAGGGAAGGAUGCAGUGGGGUUCAGCCAACCUUCCCAUAGUGGUUUAAAUUUCUAGUGCUAUGUAGCCUGCGCAGCCCUUGCAUUACAGAGAACUGCUGCUUAGCCAUGCUUAGCCUGAGCUCAGAUCUGUCUUCAUUAGUGAUUUAAGCAGAGAUGCUGGAUUUCGUAUUGCAGUAGUUGGAGUGUGAACACAUAUAGCCCCUUCUGCCAGCCCUGCUAUUGUAUUUCAAUAAAAGAGAGCAGGUACAAGCAAAGGCCGUGUCAGUCACUACACUCCCAUUAGUGCUCAUCCAGCAAAGCCCAACAUGAUACAGCAGUGGGAACAAGGGCAGUGGGACCCCAGAGAGAACUCCGUUGCUUGUCUCCCUAUUUAAGAGAUUAUAUUUUUAUUUAAAUGCUAAAAUAAUAAUGAAUGAGGGAUUCUGCUUUUUAAGGCUGUUUUAGAUGGGUAUUUUGGAAUUGGGAACACUAAAAUGGCAGCUAUGUAGCUGUAAAUGGCAGCACGUAGUUGUAUUUUUCAAAACAAGAGACCAUGUUAGCAGUAGCAUCUCAUUCAUUCAGCUUUCUAUUCCUGAGAAGACUGGUUCAUUAACACCAAUAAGAUGAGGAAUAUCAGAUCUUCAGGAUUGGGCCAUUUAUCCCAUUUUCUCCCUCUGAGGCACAGGCAGAUCAGAUAUCCUAUAAAUUCUAAAGACUACAUUUUCCACUUGUCAAGAGAAGGAGGGAAUGUUACAAGUACCAUAAAAUUCAUUGUCCUGUGUGCAUCAUAUUAAAUGGUGUGACCAAAAGAUUUCUGUGUUAAGACUUCAAUGGCAGUGCUUGCUUUGGAGAGUUUUAUUAAUCCAACCACUGUUAACUCUCACUAUGUUCCUUUUAGAACACAUCUUCUGAAGAUAUUUGAAUACGAUAGCCAAGAAGACUGAGCAGUCUUUGAAGAAACAGAGGACCAUGCAGCUGAAGAGAUGCAAUAGGUUUUCAGAGAACUGAAUCCUUGCACAUCCUUCAGCUGAAUAAGCCCACCCUUCUGAAGUGUUUGGUCCAGGCUUUGUACAUCAAACAACCUUCAGUGAAGUUAUUCUUGCCUCAUACAAGUGGUAAGAGGAAAGAGAAGCAAGUUAUUCAUAUUUAAUGCUAUUUUGUGCCAGAUGUUUUGCUGGUAGAAAUCCAUAGCUCCACAGGCACCAAUUUCUUCAGGAUCUGGAAUGUCUGGCCCAAUUUCUUUCUCACUGUGGAUGGUCUGUGAAAGAAACCACUUUAUUUUGCAAUAUUGAAUAUUCUUGCCGGGAAGUUAUAAACAAAAACAAAAUAAUGAGAGACAGGGUCUCUAAUAAGCUUCCUGUCGCAUGAGGCUCUGGUUCUAUUGAAGCAUAUGUGUUUGCUGACUUGCUUCCAAAAGGUUUGUUGAGUGGUGGUGAUUAGUUUCUGUUGUACUGAUAUUAUCUCUCUGUAGUCUCAUUCAAUACAAGUAGUUCUGUAAACAGUGAAGUCUUUUUUUCCUACGGGUUUGUACCUUGGAUUGUGUUUCAGCAUGGAUUCUCUGAUGUUUAAUGGGGAUUGAGUUCAUGUUCAGCCAAUUUCUUCAAUGAGGGAUGAAUAAUCUGUCUUUUUGGCCAUCUAUUUCCACAAAAUUUGCUGGAAUUAAAUAUCUUCAACGCCCUCUAUCAAAGUUGACUGGGAUUUAUGAACAAGUUUUGGAGUUAUUUGGGGCUGUCCAAUGUAGAUAAAAGAGAGUCUCAUUUUCUUACAAAAACAGAAUGUAAAAAUGCAUUUUUAAAGUGUUUUGUCUGAUUCUGUUCUAUUUGUGACCAGUCAUAUAGGAUGUGUUUUAUUUGUAAAGCUGUAUAAAAGUAUGAUGUGGGUUUUUUUGCCCUGUUGAGUGCAUAUUAAAGCAUCUUUAGUUUAUUCUUGUUAUGGGCCAGCUGAGAUUGCUUUUUUUUUUGGUCCUUGUUGGAACAUGGGAAAAGGUUUACACAGGUGAGUGCAGAGAAAGGACACAUGGUUGCUCAUUUAGUACCAGAGAUCUCUGCUUCUGGUUUGGAAAGGAAGAAAGGAAACACAGAAUUGAAUAUAACCUUUUAGCUUGCUGAGUCCAGUUUUGUGCUUCUGCAGGGAGCUAAGUUCUCAAUCCUUCUCACAAGCAGACAGUGCUAUUCAAAAAUGUACUCUUUCCUCCUUGUUGUGUCUCCUAUCUUCCUAGUUA